rnacentral:rRNA from 1 species
UGAAUACGAGAUGCUACGGCGUCGAAGCAGUCUAUGUCAUACUUCCAAGAAAAGCUUGCACUGUCAUAAACAAAUAAUGCCUGUACCAUAACCGACACAGGUGGGUAGGUAGAGUAUACUAAGGGGCGCGAGAUAACUCUCUCUAAGGAACUCGGCAAAAUGACUCCGUAACUUCGGGAGAAGGAGUGCCUUAUUUAUAAGGUUGCAAUAACAAGAUCCAAGCAACUGUUUACCAAAAACACAGGUCUCCGCUAAGUCGUAAGACGAUGUAUGGGGGCUGACGCCUGCCCAGUGCCAGAAGGUUAAAGAAGUUGGUUAGCAUCCGCGAAGCUGAUAACUGAAGCCCUGGUGAACGGCGGCCGUAACAAUAACGGUCCUAAGGUAGCGAAAUUCCUUGUCGGGUAAGUUCCGACCCGCACGAAAGGCGUAAUGAUUUGGAUACUGUCUCGGAGAGGGGCUCGGUGAAAUAGACUUGUCUGUGAAGAUGCGGACUACCUGCACCAGGACAGAAAGACCCUAUGAAGCUUUACUGUAACCUGAAAUUGAAAUUGGACUUUACUUGCGCAGUAUAGGUGGGAGGCGUUGAGAAUAUUCUUGCGGGAUUAUUGGAGCCAUCAGUGAGAUACCACUCUUGUAAUGUUAGAUUUCUAACUUUGUAUCAUUAUCUGGUCAAAGAACAGUUUCAGGCGGGCAGUUUGACUGGGGCGGUCGCCUCCUAAACGGUAACGGAGGCGCACAAAGGUUUCCUCUGAACGGGUAGAAAUCGUAUCUAGAGUGUAAAGGCAUAAGGAAGCUUGACUGUGAGACCUACAAGUCGAGCAGGGACGAAAGUCGGUCUUAGUGAUCUGACGGUGCUGAGUGGAAAGGCCGUCACUCAACGGAUAAAAGUUACUCUAAGGAUAACAGGCUGAUCUCCCCCAAGAGUUCACAUCGACGGGGAGGUUUGGCACCUCGAUGUCGGCUCAUCGCAUCCUGGGGCGGUAGUACGUCCCAAGGGUUGGGCUGUUCGCCCAUGAAAGCGGUACGCGAGCUGGGUUCAGAACGUCGUGAGACAGUUCGGUCCAUAUCCGGUGUAGGCGUUAGAAUAUUGAGAGGAGCCUUCUUUAGUACGAGAGGACCGAGAAGGACAUACCUCUGGUGUACCAGUUAUCGUGCCAACGGUAAACGCUGGGUAGCUAUGUGUGGAGUGGAUAACCGCUGAAAGCAUCUAAGUGGGAAGCCCACCUCAAGAUAAGUAUUCUCACC